GAUGAACGCUGGCGGCGUGCCUAACACAUGCAAGUCGAGCGAAGCACUUUAAUUCGAUUCUUCGGAUGAAGAUUUUUGUGACUGAGCGGCGGACGGGUGAGUAACGCGUGGGCAACCUGCCUUACACAGGGGGAUAACAGUUAGAAAUGACUGCUAAUACCGCAUAAGACCGCAGUACCGCAUGGUACAGCGGUAAAAACUCCGGUGGUGUAAGAUGGGCCCGCGUCUGAUUAGGUAGUUGGCGGGGUAACGGCCCACCAAGCCGACGAUCAGUAGCCGACCUGAGAGGGUGACCGGCCACAUUGGGACUGAGACACGGCCCAG
rnacentral:rRNA from 1 species